UUGAUUACGUCCCUGCCCUUUGUACACACCGCCCGUCGCUGCCCGGGACUGAGCCAUUUCGAGAAACUUGGGGACCGCCGGUUUGGCGGCCUUUUCGGGGUUACCUUCUCGAUGGAAACCAACUUAAUCGCAGUGGCUUGAACCGGGCAAAAGUCGUAACAAGGUAGCUGUAGGUGAACCUGCUGCUGGAUCAUUACACAUGCUGCGCUAUGCUUACAAUUGUGGAAAGCUAGACACCUCUCUUUCAUCAAGAUGUGUUUUUGGCCUCACAACAACAACAUAUUGUUGUUGUCCUUACAACAAACAGUGUUGUUGUUGUGAAGCGACCUUUUUGUUUGUUGGUGUUUUCCGCGUUGCUAAGCGGUUUUUGUGUUACGCAUUGGUCGUGAUCGCAAUGAAGUGACGCGUUUGAGGACAUCUUGUGUUGUUUAAUAUAUAUAAAUUCUAUCCUCGUCGGUGGAUCACUCGGCUCGUGGAUCGAUGAAGAACGCAGCUAACUGCGAUAAUUAAUGUGAACCGCAGAAAAAUUGAACACAAAAGUUUUGAAUGCAUAUUGCGCCCAUGGAGUCAAAUUCAUGGGCACGUCUGGUUCAGGGUCAUAUUAUCAUUUGCAAGUGCAACAGCAAGGCUUGCAUGCUUGUCGCAUUGAUCAUCAUUGUUCGUGGCAACAAACAACAACAACUCUACUUAUUACUACGAUGAGGAGGUGUGUGUUGUUGGCGUCGUUGGAAUUUAUGGCCGGAAUUGAGCACCACAGCGCGCAUAUACACACACAUCAACACUCUAUGCAAUUUGUAAUCUCUGUUUUUGGCCUGAAACUCAGUCGUGAGCACCCGCUGAACUUAAGCAUAUCAUUUAGCGGAGGA
rnacentral:rRNA from 1 species